rnacentral:rRNA from 1 species
UACAGAGGGUGCAAGCGUUGCUCGGAAUUACUGGGCGUAAAGGGUUCGUAGGCGGUGCGGCAAGUCGGGAGUGAAAUCUCUGGGCUUAACUCAGGGGCUGCUUCCGAAACUGCCGUGCUUGAGUGCGGGAGAGGCGAGUGGAAUUGCAGGUGUAGCGGUGAAAUGCGUAGAUAUCUGCAGGAACACCCGUGGCGAAGGCGGCUCGCUGGACCGCAACUGACGCUGAGGAACGAAAGCUAGGGGAGCAAACAGG